UCCCUCCUGCGAAGAUGCAGAAGACAGAAGAAACAGCAGGAAACAUCCCAGACAUGCCCACUUCUAUUUGGAUCAUUGGCAUAAUGUCUUUCUGGUGGCAAAGUUCUAUCAUUUUCUAACACAGAACGGAUGUAGGAGAAGGAAGAAAAAAAGGAAGAAAAAAAUAGCCAUCUAUGAUAACCUGAUCCUGAGCAGAUAUGAAACCUAUGCUCCAGUUAUUUGAAUCAGAAUUUUACAGAAAUGGGGAAAUAUUCACAGUAUUGUUGAAAGACAAUCUAAAAAAACUCUAUGUCUUGAACCUGAUUCCUGAUGACUUGACACUUUUCUUGGCAAGAAUAUGGAAGAUGUUUACCAGGAUUUACAGGCUUCUUCCAGGAUAUUUUUCAAGUUCCCAAAUUAGCCUAUAACUGCACUGUUAUAAUAUGCAUGCCCUAUGCAUGCCACGAUGGAAAGUAGACUCAGUCUCUUUGGGUUUUAAUCAGUGGCAUACAAUAUAUAAUUGUAGGCUACUUUGGCAUGUAUAUAAGGCCUUUCCAUGGUGGCAUCUUUAGAAAUUUAUCCUAUGUAAAAAAAAGGGGGGGAAUAUUAUACCAGAAAAAUAAAAUGAAAACCAACUUGAAUGUUAAUUUCUUAAUAGCAAGCUGUGAUUAAUAUUUCAUUUUUAUAUUGAACUAAUGAGGGUUGGGAAUGUGAAUAGACAUUCUUGUAUUAAAUUCAAGACGUUAAUCCCUUUGGCAAAAGGAGACCUCUCUCUUCCCUUCCAAGAGAGAGAAAUUUAAAAGCAAAUAUUAGCCUUCCAAUAGGCUUUUCUCUUUGUUUCAAGUACAAACACAUGUUUAAUGGUAGAAAAAUAUUUUGUUCAUUUCCUCUCUAAGAUUCCAGUUGGAAAGUUUAUCAGAAACAAUUUUGAAAAGAAGGUUUUAAAUUUCCAAGGCUUUUGUUAUUUUAAUAAAAUUUGCUUUUGACCAAGAGAAGACAGGAACACCUCCUUUUUCUCCCCCAAGAUCUGGUAAUAUUAUUAAAUGUAUAACUUGGUCAUUACAUCAGCUGUUUCAUUACUCUCUUAGGCUUAGAUUUAUUACGGAGGCCCUCUCCUAUUCGGUUUCCUCCAGAUUUGUUGGGACUACAACUCCCUGCCAGCAUGUGUCCAUAGGCCAUUUGGAAGCUUCAAAGGGGACUGCAUAAAGCCAUGGAGAAUCAGCUUCUCAAUGGCUAUUAGUCCCAUUGGCUAUAUGUUAUUUCCCAAAUCACAGGUAGAGUAUCAGUUAGAUAUCAAAUGUUGGCCAACAGCAGUAGAAAUAACUAUUCUCUCCAUUUUGUUCAGCUUUCCCAAUGUAAUUGGAAUAGUGAGGGUUUGCUUUGCUCUAAGAAGGCUAAUCUUUUGAAAUGUUCUAAGUCCAAUACUUAGGGUUAUCAGUGUGAGGCAAGAGCUUCAGAUAUAAGUUGACUAGUAGCAAUUAUAUUGGCUGAUUAACUGGGUUGACUUGACAUUGAUUUUUUUAUGAACUGAUUAGAACAUAAUGAACUUCUUGGUCAUUUACACUAUUGGUAGUUUUAAUAGUAGAGCUAACUGUUAGCUAACUGUUCUGGUUAUAAAAAAAAACCCCGCUUUGAUGAACACUAUUUAGAGUUUUAUCAUGUUUGUCUUCCAGCAUUGUUUUUUCCCCAAUUCCUAUUCUGGUACUCUCAUCCAAGUACUAACCAAGCCCAGACCUGCUUAACUUCUUAAACAAUAUUAGGUUGGCCAGAUGCUGCUAUCUUUUGAGACAGUUUGUAUAUAACCAUAAGUAAGAAAGUUAUUCUCCUCAAGAUUGGGUGCAUGGUCUCCGUACACAUUUGCUGUGUUUAUAACAAUAUGCUUAACCAGAUGAAAUAAAGAUUAGCAGACUUAUUUGCACAAACUACAAAACCUGGUUGUUGCAUGAACCCAGUCUGUUGAUUAUUUUCUGUUCAAAUUAUUGUUCAGUUUCCUCAGUGUAACUAUGUUAAAUAUGAUAUGUGAUUACUGUUAUUAAAUAGUGAAAUUUAGAAAGUGGUAGCUGCAGAAGCCUAUUUCCUUACCAGUGCUGUUUCCUUGUUUCCUUAGAUAAAAAAUGUCAACUGUUUCAAAUAUUCAAAUUCAGUUCUAUUAAGUAAGUAAGUAAUCAAACAAACAAACAAACAAACAAACAAAACAAAAAAACUGGCAUUCCCAGGCUCUGGGAUGCAUUUGAAAAUAGAAUUUCUUAAAACGGUACUCAUAAAAAUAAUAUAGUAUAUUUUACAUAUAAUACAAUAUGAACAGGUGAUAUCUGAAAAGAACUAGAGAAAAUGUCAUGAUUCCAAGGAAGACAUGCAUUAAAUAAAUAUUAGGACCAUAAGAAUAAUUUAUAUUCUUUUCUUGCUGUGCUUUAAUACAAUUAAAAAUAAUAUAUUCCAUUUUAUAAGGCUUUCUUUUUCAUUAUUCUAAAUUAUUGCCCUUCCUUCCUUCCUUCCUUCCUUCCUUCCUUCCUUCCUUCCUUCCUUCCUUCCUAUUUUUAUAAUCCUGUCAAGAACAAAUGCAUUAUAUUCUCACUACUGUUAAUUUCCCCCUCCCCUCCACCCCCAUCGUUAGUGGUCAAAACAAUGUCACAAUAGAAGGAGUCUAUAUGGCAGCUAAUUCUACAUGUUUUUCAUUCUGUUGCCAGCAUGUGUACCAGUGUUUCUAAAACUUAGUGACCGGGGAAUUCUGGGAACUGAAGUCCACACACUUUUAAAGUUGUUAAGGUUGAGAAACACUGAUGUAUACACUUUCCUUCUCAGAGUGGGCUUAGUUCAGCAAAACAUUUUCCCCAUCAUCUGCUUAGAAGUUCUGUGUCAGUCCACUCACAGCCCUUCCAUUUCCUCUUCAUGUGUUCUUCAAGCCACAGAGAGGACACAGUUGUUAUUUUAUAGAGAUCAGGAAUGAGAUGCAAUUAAGGGAGGCCUCAGCAGAAGACUGAUAGCAUCUCUUUCCUGCCAGCCAGGCGGCUGGCUUGCCAACCUCUAGGCCUAAAGGCACAAUCAGACUGGAGCUAGGGUUUUGAAAGAGACUUCACAGCCCAACUCUGUCCACUUGUUUACUUAAAACAAAACCAGAGAGUCACUUGGCUAUUCUAAAUCAAUUCCUUGCUUUUAAAUAUCCAUCCUGACCAUGGGCAUUCACAGGGGAAGCAAAUAGCACUUUCAUAGCACUUGUCAGGCAAAUGCUGAGAGAUGAUCACAUGUGUGUUAUUUUGACAUCAUUGAUAGGGACCUGAAGACAUAGCCCUAAUAUUGGCUAAAAUCAAGGAUCUGGAUGUCAUGAAAAGACAGCAUGUGGACAAUAUUGUUCAGAGAAAAACCAGAGAAAGAGAUCUUCUGUGACUUGUCAAACUUUCAAAUCUACCCUUUACUCACUCAGGGUAGUAUUUGCUGUGACAGCUUAUUUUUCUGUGUGUCUGUGAAGACAUCACUUAUUCCUUAGCCUCCAGGAAAAUUCCUUUUGCCUUGAUGUCCUACAUUCUUUUCAUAUUGUCUUUGGAUUUCCAAACUCAGGUUUCUGAAUGAUUGAAUAGCUUUUUGUAAUCUUCUCAGAUAGGCGGAUAAAAUUUAUAUUUAUAUCUCUGUUGAGUGGAAUGUUUCACUUAUGGGCAUAAUUCAUAAAUGUGCUAAAUUUUGUCACACCUUUUCGAAUAAAAUGUACAGUUCUACUGAAAUCCAUUUAUUGCAGUUAUGCUUCUUUCUGUGUUGAAUGAUUAGCCUUAAUGUUUUGACAGCUUUUAUUUGAAAUAUGUUCCAGAAUUAAUGUAGCCUAGAGAUAUUAGGCAUAACAUUCUAUAAAUAUUCAUAUUAUCUCCCUCUGACUUUUGUUUGUCCGUUAAAUUAUGUUUUCUUAUUAAAACACACUUAAAAUAUAUC